rnacentral:lncRNA from 1 species
UUUGAUGAGUGACUGUCAGGAGUUAGUCAGCAAAGUUGCUUACUCAGUCCGAGGUUAUAAAAUUGUCCUUAAGUUGAAUGCACGAGGAAACGCGUUGGUACGGUUAACCAAUAUGAUCCGGAUGAGAAUAUUAUUGAACUGGCAGAUGAUGACAUUGAUUGUUCUUUCAAAGAUACACCUCAGGAUAUGGGUUAUGAUAAUGACGAUGAAGAUGCAGAGGAGGAAGCGGAAGAAGAUGAAUUUUUGCCGCCAAUUAUUUCUCAAACAAAGGGCCGCAAAAACAAUCAAGAUUAAAGAAUGCAUUCGAGAAAAUUGUGGGUUCUAAGCCUCAUCGAAAAUGUGCAAUUUGUGGCUUUGAAACCGACCAUGAUAAGUGCAAUCACUAUCGAGUGUUGGG